UACAGAGGGUGCGAGCGUUGUUCGGAAUUACUGGGCGUAAAGCGCGCGCAGGCGGCCUUUUAAGUCUGCUGGUGAAAUGCCGGGGCUCAACCCCGUGCCCGCCACAGAUACUGGGAGGCUGGAGACAUGUAGAGGCAAGCGGAAUUCCGGGUGUAGCGGUGGAAUGCGUAGAGAUCGGGAGGAACAUCAGUUGCGAAGGCGGCUCUCUGGACCAGCACUGACACUGAGGCACGAAAGCGUGGGGAGCAAACAGGG
rnacentral:rRNA from 1 species